rnacentral:rRNA from 1 species
CAGUAGCCGCGGUAAUACGAAGGGUGCAAGCGUUAAUCGGAAUUACUGGGCGUAAAGCGUGCGUAGGCGGUUUGUUAAGUCUGCUGUGAAAUCCCCGGGCUCAACCUGGGAAUGGCAGUGGAUACUGGCAGGCUAGAGUGUGUCAGAGGAUGGUGGAAUUCCCGGUGUAGCGGUGAAAUGCGUAGAGAUCGGGAGGAACAUCGGUGGCGAAGGCGGCCAUCUGGGACAACACUGACGCUGAGGCACGAAAGUGUGGGGAGCAAACAGGAUUAGAUACCCCCGUAGUCCCUGUCUCUUAUAC